rnacentral:rRNA from 1 species
AUUAAAGGUUACGGUACAAGAUGAGUAUGCGUCCUAUUAGCUAGAUGGUGUGGUAACGGCACACCAUGGCAACGAUAGGUAGGGGCCCUGAGAGGGGGAUCCCCCACACUGGUACUGAGACACGGACCAGACUCCUACGGGAGGCAGCAGUGAGGAAUAUUGGACAAUGGAGGCAACUCUGAUCCAGCCAUGCCGCGUGCAGGAAGACUGCCCUAUGGGUUGUAAACUGCUUUUAUACAGGAAGAAACCGCUCUACGUGUAGAGCUCUGACGGUACUGUAAGAAUAAGGAUCGGCUAACUCCGUGCCAGCAGCCGCGGUAAUACGGAGGAUCCAAGCGUUAUCCGGAAUCAUUGGGUUUAAAGGGUCCGUAGGUGGAUAAUUAAGUCAGAGGUGAAAGUUUGCAGCUUAACUGUAAAAUUGCCUUUGAUACUGGUUAUCUUGAAUCAUUAUGAAGUGGUUAGAAUAUGUAGUGUAGCGGUGAAAUGCAUAGAUAUUACAUAGAAUACCAAUUGCGAAGGCAGAUCACUAAUAAUGUAUUGACACUGAUGGACGAAAGCGUAGGUAGCGAACGGGAUUAGAUACCCCGGUAGUCUACGCCGUAAACGAUGGAUACUAGCUGUUCGGAUUUAUCUGAGUGGCUAAGCGAAAGUGAUAAGUAUCCCACCUGGGGAGUACGUUCGCAAGAAUGAAACUCAAAGGAAUUGACGGGGGCCCGCACAAGCGGUGGAGCAUGUGGUUUAAUUCGAUGAUACGCGAGGAACCUUACCAGGGCUUAAAUGUAAGUUGCAUUAGUUAGAGAUAGCUAUUU